rnacentral:rRNA from 1 species
AGUGCUAAGAGAAUGAUUUAACAAUUAAUAGCUUUCUUCAAAUUAAAAAUUGAAUUUAGUUUUAUUGUGAAGAAACAAUAAUAAUAAUUAGGGACAAGAAGACCCUAUGAAUUUUAGAAUUAUUUAUUUGUAAUACUGUUAAUAAGUAAAUAAUUUUUGUUGGGGCGAUAGAAAAAGAAUAUUUAUCUUUUUCUCUAAAAAAGUUAAUUUUGAUCCAUUAUUAAUGAUAAUAUGAAAUAAAUACUCUAGGGAUAACAGCG